rnacentral:lncRNA from 1 species
UCUGUGUUUAACAUUUAACAUCGGAUAUAAACUGAUCGCUGUAAAAUUUAACAACGGAUUUGAACACGUCGUCUUCAUCAACGUUUCCGUUUCGUAGGAUUCAUUGAAGGAACGAACCCCAUCUUCCGAUCAGACCCAUGAAAACUACAACCACCCCUUUUUUCUUCUGCCAACUACUCUCUAUCUUUUGAUCAAAUUCACUUCCCUAUGCUCAUCCAUUCAUCCUUCCAUCAACGACGACGGCCACCACAUCUAAAAACCCCUUCUGCCAGCCUUCGAAUUGAUAUAAAACUUUUCCUUCCCUUGUUUGUGCGCAACAAACCGGCCUAUUCGAUUCCAGUUCCCCCUUAUGGAUCACGAAUCCCAGAGGAGUAAUCAAGAACUUUCAAUUUUGAAUCAUUUGUUGUAGGAGAAGGCAAGAGAUCAAGGACCUGCCAUCGAACUUUAUCCUUUACUGACAGAAAGAAGAACUAAUUGGCUGAGUUCGAGACGGGCUUAGACAAAGUAACUCUCUGGUCGGAGUAUCCCCGACGAAUUCAAAGCAGCGGCUCCAUAGGGAUUCUUCUAGCGUCAAUCUGGUAAGUUACUCUUACACUCUGCUUAUCGGGUUAUUCGAUCCCCUUCUAAGUUACUGACAAUUGAUUGUCGGUGAUGUUAAUGAAAUAUUUGAGAAAUCAUUAUAUGCUCAGACAACUCAGGAUUGUACCCUUUAAACUAUCUGAGUUCUGAAGUUAUUUAAUUUUGCUUUGGUGGGUUUAUAUUUUUUCCCAGGUUUUAGAGUUAGUCAAGUGAUGAAUGAUCCUCAAGCACAAGAGGAGCAACUAACAAGGAAGGAGGUGGAAGUUGGUGGUGUGUAUACGAUAACCAAAUUGUGUGAUAAGAUGAGUUAUGUGUUAUUGAGUGGGAAGCAGAGAGCAAAGUUGAAGAAGGUAAGUUUUCAAAUAACUUUUUCUUAAUGAGAAUGGCUAGCGUUAGCUUCAUAGUUCAUACCACUGAAGAUGUUAAUGGGUUGUAACGGUCUCAUCUGCGAAAAACCUAUUCUCAUGUCAAUAGCCCACAAUUCUUUGAUGUCGAAUAUGCUCUCGCAAAUCUGACACAAGGGGAACUUAGUAUUAAUGAUUAUUACCUAGCUGUAACUCAUCUUUGGACAGAAAUCGACCUAAUUUAUGUUGUUCUUACCACGGGUGGUAUCUCUGACAUUCUUCAAGAAAGACAACGGAGCAGGAGUCUCCAAUUAUUGAUGCGCCAGCGACGACAUGGAUAUAGAUAAUAUUAUUGGUGAAUUGAUUUGUGUCGAGACUCGCUUCACAACCCAAGCUCAACUCGAUGGUCAAGCUCUUCCACUAUUGCCAAGAUCUGUUUUCACAGCGGGUCGGCCUCGCCCAUAGUUUUACUCUAAACGUUCUCAUCCAGCUUAAGGAAGUUCAACUAGUUACAAUUCGGUUUCGUCAGAAGUUUCGGCCAACUCUGUUAAAUGCCAUUUUCGUCAAGAAUUGGGACAUCCUCAAGCUGUGUCGUAAACAAAAUAUAUGUUCCUAUUGUAAGAAGUCUGGGCAUAAUAUUAUUCAGUGUUGUGCUCGUGGUCGUCGAAAUUUUGGACCAGGACGUGGAAAUCCUUCCUCUGCUGCUCAUGCAGUGAUUCCUGCUGCGCCAAUUUCAUCCUAAAGUAUAAAUCCAAAUUAUUUUUGAGUUGCGAGUUCAGAGACCUCGGCCAAUAUUGCUCAGCUCGUUUAAGUUGAAUCAGCUCGAGCUAUUCCUCAAGCUCUCAAUUUCUCCUUUGCUACUCUUGGUCUAUCAGUUACCGCUUCUCGUCCCUGGUUUCUUGAUUCAGCUACUUUCAAUCAUAUGUUUGGGGAUAUUUCACAAUUUUUCUCGUAUAAUUCUCUCAAACAUCAAUCAGUUGAAGUGGCCAAUGGCCAGCGACUUGCAAAUUAUUUUACCUUCUACACUUCAUGCACCGCACUUGGUUCUCAAUUUGGUUUUAGUUGGUCAAUUGACAGAAUCUGGCUGUGAUGUUUUCUUUGGUUCCUCUGAUUGUGUAAUUCAGGAUCGAGUGGCAGGAACGAAACUGGGCCUGGGGAAGAAACUCGGUCGUAAUUUUCAACUUCUUAAACUCGGUCAUCGCAACAAGGUUGGACAAGGCAGAGAUUUUAAUGGAGAUGUUGGUGUCUCACGUUCUAUUGCUUCUUAUUUUAGUGGAUUUUAUGUUUUAAUUUCUAAUUCUCCAAAUUAUUUUAGUUCUUUAGUUGCUCUUAGUCUGAACCAGUUAUGGAAUUUAUGGCACAAUCGUUUAGGUCAUCUUCAUUCUAAUCGUCUUUUGAGUAUUCGACAAUGAUAUUUGCCGGUAUAAAAUGAUAUGAAUAUUUUUUUGGUUCCUAUUUGUUUGCCUUUUAUUGAAGCAAAGGCGGUUGUCUUGCCUUUUCACUCUAGUACCACUGAGAUACAUGAACCCUUUGCUCUCAUUCACACUGAUGUUUAAGGAUCGAGUCCAGUCACCUCCCGUCUUGGUUAUCGUUACUUUGUUCUUUUAUUGAUCACAUGACUCGCUACACUUGAGUUUAUUUUCUUCAUUUCAAAUAUGAGCUCAUAUUAGUUCUCAAGCAGUUUGUCGUUUGUCGCCAUGAUUCAGAAACAGUUUGCCCGGCCUGUUAAGAUGUUCAAAUAUGAUCGGGGGGGGGGGGGGGGCAGUAUUUUCAAGAAAAUGGGAUUUUAUUUCAGUAAUCUUGUCUUGAUGUCUCUAAGCAAAAUGGGUUGGUAGAACGUAAGCAUCAACAUGUUCUUGAUCUAACAAGAGCUCUUUUACUUGAAUCUCGUGUGCCUUUUACUUUUUGGGUUGAAACCGUUCGAACGGUAGUCCAUCUAAUUAAUUUCCAGCCGACACCAGUUCUCUCGAAUGUGUCACCUUUCGAGAAACUCCAUCACAAGCCUCCGGAUUAUUCUCAUCUUCCAAUCUUUGGAUGCACAUGUUUCGUUCUUCUUCCUAAGAAAGAUCACAACAAUCUCUCUUCCAAGACGAUUCGUUGUGUUUUCAUUGGCUAUACGGAUCACCAUAAGGGAUACAUGUGUUAUAACCCUCUUCUUUGUCCCAUAUAUAUCGCCUAUCAUGGCCUCUUCCUUGAAAACAAUUUAUACUACCAUAACCUACCUACCCAAUUACCUCCCAUGCCACCUCACAUACCUCUCUUCCUAGAUGAUUCCUCAUCACCUUCUCACAACCACUCACCCCCCAAACAUACUCGAUCUUCUCAUCUUAUCUUCCAUACUCCUACUGUUGCUUCCUCACAACCACGCCAUUUAUCCACUCUCCCAUAAUUGAACCCACAUCACCUCCUCGCACUCCUCCAAGCCUCUUUCCUUCUCCCACUUCUUCUCCUACAUAUCCUACACCUCUUACCUCACAUUCAUCCACUGAUUCUCCUAUUCAUAAUACACUUCUCACCUCCCCCAUCAAUGACACUAUUGCCUCACCUCCACAUCCUCGUCGCUCCUCUCGUACUAUACAUGGCCUCCCUCCUUCCAGGCUCAAUGAUUAUGUCUCAUAUGCUACCACGAUUGUGUCUAUACCUACAUCCUAUAAGAAAGCUUAUUUAGAUCCUAGCUGGUUUGCAAUGAUGGACGAAGAAUCAGACGCAUUGGAUGCGAAUCAUACAUGGUCACUUGUUAAUCGACCUAAAGAUGAACCUGUACUUAGUUCUCGUCGGAUUUAUACUGCCAAGUUUAAUCCAAAUGGUUGUCUUGAUCGUUAUAAGGCUCAUAUUUUUGCUCAGGGGUGUCAACAAGAAUAUGAGAUUGAUUAUUAAGAAACAUUUGCUCUAGUUGAUAAAAUGCAAUAUGUUUGUGUCCUUUUUUCCUUGGCAGCUCAACGAAACCGGCCUUUGUUUCCGUUGGAUUAAAAAUGCUUUUCUACAUGGGUUACUCAAAGAAACUGUGUAUAUAGAAUGCCCACCCGGAUUAAAGAAAUCGCCCCCCAACACCGUGUACCUUCUUCGUCGUUAUUUGUAUUGUCUUAAGCAAGGACCUAGGGCUUGGUUUGAGACAUUUCAAUCACUUAUUUAGCAAUCCGAUUUUGUGCAAAGCAAGAACUAUCCUUCACUUUUCACCAAGACUUCGUCUCAUGAUAUUACUAUUCUUAUGUUAUAUGUGGACGACAUGAUUUUAUCUGGCAAUGAUCAAGAGGGCAUUGCGAACAUUCGACAGAUUCUAGACCAACACUUUAAGCUCAAUGAUUUGGGUAACUUAUCUUAUUUUCUUGGGUUGCAGGUGACCCGCUCAUACAAGGGUCUAUUUCUCUCGCAAUAGAAAUACAUUACAGAUCUUCUUGCAACAGCUAGUCUUUCGGACUGUCGCCCUUUUAACACUCCGAUGGAACUUAAUCUCAAGCUUAGCAAGGAUUAAGGUGACCAUGUUCCCGAUCCAACUUUGUACCGAAAGUUGGUUGGGUCCCUCAUAUAUCUCACAUCCACUCGUUCGGAUUUGGCUUAUGCACUUCAGAUUGUAAGUUAGUUUAUUGCUACUCCUUGCAUGCCUCAUCAACUAGCAUUUUAUCGGAUCCUCCGCUACCUCUAGGGAACACGUGAGGUGGGACUUUUCUUCCCGGCCACUAGCACAUCUCACAUUUUGGCUUAUGAAAAUGUCGAAUAUGUAUGGUGUAUUGAUACUCGUCGCUCUACUUCUGGGUGGUGCAUUUCCUAUGGUGAUUCCUUCAUUUUAUAACGCUGCAAAAAGCAAAAAAAAAGUGUCAAAGUCAUCCAAUAAGGCAGAAUAUCGCUAAAUGUCAGAGGUUUGUUCAGAGGUAGUUUGGUUGCUCCGUCUUCUUGCUGAUCUUGGUUUGUGGGUUCCUACUCCAGUACACUUGUUUGGGGAUAAUACCAGUGCAAUUCAUAUUACAGCUAAUCUAGUACUUCAUGAUCGUGCUAAACAUAUUGAGACCCAUGUUCACUAUAUUCAAGAUCUUGUUCAUGAAGGUGUUGUAAAGCUGUUUAUGUUACCUCUGGGGAGCAGAUAGCUAACGUAUUGACUAAAGUUGUUCCUACUAGGCGUCAUUGGUUAUUGUCAGACAAAUUGAUGUUGCGUAGUCAUCAUCAAUUUGAAGGGGGGGGGGGGGGGGGGUUUAUGGGUUUUAAAGGGUUUUUGGGGUGGGGUGCAGUUGGGGUUAGAGUUGGGCUCAUUGGGUUGUUUUGGGUUACUUCUUUAUUGGUCCAUAUUAUACCCUUCAAUUCUAAUAGCUUAUUUAAGCUAGGUUUGGUCACGGUGCUAUGUAUCUUCUCUUCUUCCUCCUCUCGGUUUUAUAAUACAAACUUAUUCUUCUCCCUUGGACUAGUCGAUCACUCUAAUCGGAAACCACAUUAAACUUUACAUCGUGUUCUUGAUUUCUCAGUUCUUAACUCAAGAACGAGACAUCUGAUUCAUCUUACCUUGACUCAUUGCAUAUGGCAUUUGGUAAAUGGGAAGGUUGAAAUACUACAUAUAUAUCCUCCUUCGUGUUUAGUACUCCUGUGUCAUGUUUACUGAGGAAUGAGAAUUGCAGACUAACGAUGAAAUACAGAAAUACGUAAUCUUCUUAAGGAGAUCCCAGAAAACCAGUUUGGAGGAUGGAGAUGGUACUGUGCUCUUCACCAAUUUUUUGGGUCCAUCAAAUGGUUAUGAAUAUUAUCUGGUUGGUCACUAUUAAACGUAAAAUUUGCUUUAGCUGCUAGUGAUUGGUUCCAUAUCUGCUACCUCAUGUCAGAAACAUGUUAAUAUACCAUUUGCUAAAUUGUUUUCAUAUUAAUGAACAUAACAACUUUAAUCCGGAACAACUAUUAACAUUUGCAAAUGUAAGUUUUACAUAAAUGGAAAUGCAUAUCCCAUACAUGAAAUGUUGACAGAAGGAAAAGUCUAGCUAAUAGGUGUUUUCAUUAAUUAAAAUGGGGAGUUAUUAGAGAGACUUUAGAAGUUAAAAUUCAAGUGUAACACAUGAGGGUAUAUUAUAAUAGCAUUACAAUGUUGAAUAUUAAAAAUAGAUUAAAGGCUUGUUGACAGUAACUUAUCAUGAAGUCAUAACAAUGAGUAGUAAUUUCGCAUUGAAAGGGGAAAAGUAACGAAUAUUUUCAAAUUACAGAUCCAGUCUUAUCCGGCGAAAUAGCUGAUUCUGGUGAAGUUGCAAGACACCGGCUUCUGAUUUUUUUUUACAAUCAGUAACAAUAUUAUUAUUAAAACAAAGAAUACAUAGAAAGGCCGAAGCCCAAAGAAAUACAAAGGACUUAAGAAAAUUUCAUUACACUUGUGAGGCCAAGUUUAAAACCCUAGCCCAAAGAACAACAACAAAAAACCUAACUCCAAACCACUAAAAAAUUGCAGUCGUCCAUCUUUUUCUCUUAAAACAGCUGCUAAUCGGAUUCAUGAAAACGCAGCCGCCGAACAAGAAGAAACAUCGGAAACCAGUGCUGUCAAAAAAAAAAAAACUUUCCUUCGAUUGAGGUUGUCUCUGUCGUUAACUCAUUGAUCAGCUUCCAAGCUCAUAUUAGAUCCACAACUCCAUAAUGUCAACACAAAGAAAAAACAUGGAGGUAGGAAAAAGAAAGAAGAAGAGAAGCAAUUGAAAAUAGCACCAUAUGCAUUCAAAAAGAUCAAGUCAGAAUUUGAGAAAAUUAAAUCUGCAACAAAAAGCUUCAAAAAAGGAGAAUAAUAUGCCCACGAAGAAAGAAAAAGCCUCAUAAAGAGAAAAAGUGAAGGAAGGACUUUAGAUUUCAAAAAUCAAAACAAAGACCCGAUAAAAUGUGAUAAAAAUCACGUAAGAAAUCAACAAUAAGAACAUCAAAGAAAAGAGAAAAAGAAAUCAUAGAAGUGCAGAGCAAGGAGCUGCCGCCGGUCACAAGAAAGUGCCGACAGCAACAAAGGAGAACACCGGUGAAGAAAGUAAGAGAGUAGGUAAAUAAAAAAAGAGAGAAAGAAAAUCCCUUUAGCAAGAGUUUACAUAAUACCGACUUCAGGUUGUUCUAAAAGAAUUUGAACUCUAUCUGAAAGUUUGAAAAAAAAAUAAGAUGGGAGAUUCAAAGUAAAAUGUAUUCGUUCGAACAAUGGUUACUUUGUCAAUUAUUUGACGAAAAUUGGAUUACUUAUUAAUGAAAGAGGAAAGAUUUUAUGAACAUGAUGUCCAGAAGCUAACGUUCUAGAGUAGGUAUUCAAGCACAAAAGGAGAAAUUGAGAAUCUAAAUUAGGUGAAAAGGUUUCCUUUUCAAGUUGGUCGUUCAAAGAAUUAGAGUUAAAUCCGUAAGAAAAAGGUGGAAAGAAUACUAGUCCAGUGAGAAGAGAGAAUUACGUCGGAUUCACGAAAUACGAGACUACGACAACGGAGAUAAAUCUCCUACAAAAGGUACUAAUGAACCCAUACGUUCGAGACGAGCUCUAAAUAACAAUGUAAAUCUAGAGAAACCCACUGAAAUUUCUACUUUAACUCUUCAUCUCUCUCUAUUUUUAAAAACCUCCACCCUUUCUUUAAUCUUCUUAGCUUGUUGCCGCUAGUUACUUUAUUGUGGCCGACGACAGCCGUUGUUCUUUUCUGGUGUGCACCACAUUUUUUCAUGGUUUGUCUUUUUUCCGGAUCUCUUUAAAUUUUUUCGGUCUUUUACUUUCAAAGAGUUGCUUUGUGUGUUUUCUCUCUUGAGGGACUUGUUUCAACCUAUAUGGUUGUUUGUUUCAAUCUUUAUAAUUGCUUUUGUUUAGAUCUAACUCUUAAAUUUUUCUCAAGUGGUGAAAAAGGAAACUGUUCUACAGUUUGUUUCUCCUCUUAUUUUUGAUCAUUUACCUUCUUUCUUUAUCCAUCGCGUUGGUGAUUCGAAGAUGUUUGGUUUCUACAUGAGGUUUGGAUGCAGGGUGUUUGAGGAUGUGGCAG